GAUGCAAAAUUGAUUAUAUCAAAUAAAAUUCUAGGUAGAUUUUUGAUAAUGACAUUGCUUACCUAAGUCUUGACCAAAUUACGUGCCAGCAGUCGCGGUAAUACGUAAAAGACUAGUGUUAUUCAUCUUUAAUUGGUUUAAAGGGUACCUAGACAGCGAAUAAAGCCAUAGUAGGGACUAAUUCGCUAGAGUUACUUAUGAGGGGGUAUUAAAGUACUGCAGGUGUAGAGAUGAAAUUUUGUUAUACCUCUUUUCGUAAGAGAAAAUAUGGCACAGGUAUAGGUGAAAGCAUCCCCUUAUGUGAUAACUGACGUUGAGGGACGAAGGCUUUGUGUCGCGAACAGGAUUAGAUACCCCAAUAGUCAAAGCAGAAAAUGAUGAAUGUCAUAGAUUAGAUAUGCAAUUUAUUCUAUAAAUGAAAGUGUAAGCAUUCCACCUCAAGAGUAAUUUGGCAACAUUGGAACUGAAAUCAUUAGACCGUUUCUGAAACCAGUAGUGAAGUAUGUUGUUUAAUUUGAUGAUACGCAAAAAACCUUACCACAAUUUGAAUAUUUAUAUCUAUCUUUUAUUGAUUUUUACUAACAUAUAUGUAGACAAUUAAAAUGAUGUUUAUGUCUCGAUUGUGAGACUAAGCAUGAAAAAAGAUAAUAUAUUUACAAGCGUUGCACGGCUGUCUUCAGUUAAUGUCGCGAGAUUUUGGUUAGUUCCAUUAAAAUUAACGUAAACCCUUACUUUAUUUAUAUAUAAAGUAGUUCUCCGCUAUA
rnacentral:rRNA from 1 species